rnacentral:rRNA from 1 species
AAAAUCGCCUUUAGCCAGACAAGUAUUAAAGGUCUCGCCUGCCCAGUGAACCACCCCCUUUAAACGGCCGCGGUACUCUAACCGUGCAAAGGUAGCGUAAUCAUUUGCCCCCUAAAUAGGGGCUAGUAUGAACGGCUAAAUGAGGGCCUAACUGUCUCCUGCGACAAGCCAAUGAAACUGAUCUCUCAGUACAAAAGCUGAGAUAUACCCACAAGACGAGAAGACCCUGUGGAGCUUCCUAAACACAACACUAAACCCACUCAACCACCCAUAGUGCUGACUUUUAGUUGGGGCGACUACGGAGAUAACCCAAACCUCCAUGAAACAGGAUCUCCUCCUCCCAAGGCAAACACGCCUAAGAUAAUUAUACCUUUGACCCAGCAUUGCUGAACAACGGACCAAGUUACCCCAGGGAUAACAGCGCAAUCCUCCCCAAGAGUCCUUAUCGCCAGGAGGGUUUACGACCUCGAUGUUGGAUCAGGACACCCAGGUGGUGCAGCCGCUACCAAAGGUUCGUUUGUUCAACGAUUAAUGUCCUACGUGA